rnacentral:rRNA from 1 species
CACCAGGUUGAUUCUGCCUGACGUGGACACUUGUCUCGAAGAAUAAGCCAUGCAUGUUCGUGAAGCUUUUAGUGAAACUGCGAAUGGCUCAGUAAUAUGGUUCUAAUUUAUUCAACGCGUAGUGGAUAACCACGGGAAACUGUGGCUAAUACAUUGACAAGAUAUUGUAUGUGAAGAAGAUAUCAGAUGUUGAGUAAGGGACCAGCCUAUCAGUUUGAUUGUAGUGUAAAGGACUACAAUGACGAUGACGGGUACGGGGAAUCAGGGUUCGAUUCCGGAGAGGGAGCCUGAGAAAUGGCUCCCAGUUCUAAGGAACCCAGCAGGCGCGAACCAUUUUCAAUCUACAAGGGAAAGUGUGAAGAGACGUGAAUCAAGAGGUACUCUAAAACGGUACUGAUGAACUAGAAGGCAAGCGAGGUGCCAGCAGCUGCGGUAAUUCCCCCUCUAGGAGUGUCUGUGAGUAUUGCUGUGGUUAAAACGUCCGUAGUUGAUAUAAAGAAGUAGGGAAAUCUACUUUUCUUGGUUAUGGAUAAAAGAAUGUGCUUAAAGCGAUCUAAUCCAUAAUACUAGAUGUGAUAAGAGCAGAUGAGGAACACAGGAUUCUGCAGCGAGAGGUGAAAUUUGAUGACCUGCGGGGGACUAACAGAUGCGAAGGCGGUGUCCUAGGAUGUUUCUGUUAAUCAAGGACUAAAGCCAGAGGAUCGAAGGCGAUUAGAGACCGUCGUAGUUCUGAGCUGUAAACGAUGCCAACAGUACGAUGUGAGAAUUUGCAUUGUAUAAGAGAAAUUUAGUGUUUGGGCUCCAGGGAUAGUACGCCGGCAACGGUGAAAUUUGAAGACAUUGACGGAAGGACACCACAAGGAGUGGAGUGUGCGGCUUAAUUUGACUCAACGCGGGACAACUUACCAGGGCCGGAUGUACGGGUGAAAGAAAGGGCUGAGAUGCCCGUCUUGAUUGUACAGAGAGUGGUGCAUGGCCGUUCUCAACACGUGGGGUGACUUGUCAGGUUAAUUCCGGUAACGUGUGAGACCCUCGAAAUACUGGGAACGUAAGUUUCAGGAAGGAAAGGGCAAUAACAGGUCUGUGAUGCCCUCAGAUGUUCUGGGCUGCACGCGCACUACAAUAGAAGAUGUAAUUUGGUGUAAAUUAAAAAUCUUUUGAAUGUUGGGAUUGAGUUUUGUAAAUGACUCAUGAACAUGGAAUUCCUAGUAAUUGCUAUUUCAUUAAGAAGCGAUGAAUGAGUCCCUGUCCUUUGUACACACCGCCCGUCGUUAUCUAAGAUGGAUGUGCAGGUGAAGUGAGUGUGAUAGCUAGCUGAACCUGUAUAACUAGAUCGGAUACAAGUCGUAACAAGGUAACC